CAUAAUAAUUACAACUUUCAACAACGGAUCUCUUGGUUCUGGCAUCGAUGAAGAACGCAGCGAAAUGCGAUAAGUAGUGUGAAUUGCAGAAUUCAGUGAAUCAUCGAAUCUUUGAACGCACAUUGCGCCCUUUGGUAUUCCAAAGGGCAUGCCUGUUCGAGCGUCAUU
rnacentral:rRNA from 1 species